GUCCUGGGGGCUGUUCCCGGCGCAGGGCCUCCGGCUGCACUCGGUGCUCCCUGUUUAAUGGAGCCGGAAGGGAGGAGCUAAGCAGGGAGAAUAAGAAAGUGGCCUGGUACGCACGGGACGGGGCUGCUAUUGCUUGUAGGCCCAAAGCCGCCCUGAGAGCUCUGGUCCGUGGUGCAGUGUGGGGUGCUCUCAGAUCAGUGCUGCUUCUCUAGCCACCAGCUAGCACUCGUGGGAUAAAAUGCCUGAUGAAGAGAAACAAUAGCCAGGUCUUUUCUUCUUCUAUUCCUGAGGACUGGAGCAGAUUUCCAAAAAUCCAAAUUGGCAUAAGCGCGCUUCAGUCAGACGUGGCCACUGUCCCCCAAGCACACUCUCCAGUGUAUUUAGCAAUAUCUAACUGUACGUAAUCCCUAAACAAACAUAACUGUCAUUCCUAGUGGCAAGGUGAAGCAGAUCAAAGGAGAAAUAUUUCAUUUGCCUGAGAUAGUUCUCUGGAACAAAACUAACUGUGAUUUUCAGUAGAGUUGAUCAAAUUACUCACUGGAAGUGUUCUCUGCAAAAUAAGACUUUUUAAUUACUUUUUUGAAUUAUUUGUGAAUUAACUUCUUGCUUGUGACUAGUCACUAAGCUGUUUGGAAACCCUCUGUCAUAUUAAGAGUUUUGAUAAUAACUCACGGAUUAUCAGCUUUCUGCCUUACAUAGCAUUAAGAAUGAACUGGUGAAAUUUUAAACUGGAGUCUAAAAUUGUUUAAAAUUCAGGUAACUUUUUAAGGACUUAAGAAAAUUUUCAGACCUAGACAGUUUUUGCUUGAAUAUUCCAGAUGGCAAAGAGCAGAGGCAGCAUGGUUAAAUGUACAAUCCGUUGGGAUUUUCAAAGGAACAUUAGUCAAUGAAGCUGUAACAUUCAGCAACAAGCAGAUCUUUUUUUUUUUCCCAUUUUUUUGAAAGUGUAUUCAUAAGAUGCAGCACCUGAUAUAAAAUUAGAACUAAGUUGUAAUGUGUUAUCCAGCCAGUCUUACCCCAGGAAUUUCUUUCUUUGAUUAUGCAGAAAAAGCUGCUCUUCCCUGGAACAAAGGAGUUACUUCUCUUUAUUCAUUCAAAUUGCAUAUGUAUAAAAUAUCAGUGUUGUCUUUAGUCUAAAAUCCCUCACUGUAUGACUUGCACCGUACAUCAAAACCUAUCUCCUGCAGCCUGGCAACUGCCUCUGUUGCUAUAGAAACAUGGUUCCACUAUCCUUUCAUGGUGAACUUCAAGUAUUCCCAUUUUUGUAGUUGCUAGAACACCUCCAGUUCUUGUUUAUUUCAUUCACUUACUCACACACGUUCGUAAGACCUCCUCCUAAAUUAGGGAGUUAUUCAGCUCUUCUGGAUCCAUAAAUGAAAGAAGAACAUUAGUUAGCUGAAGAAAAGUCACACAAUACUUAGAGCUGCACAUUUGACUGGGACGUUGUUACUAGUAUUGGGUUUAUUUAACGUGCAGACAUAUUGAGUAAUUAGCAUCCCUUAAUAUGCAUUAAAUUUAUCUUUCUGUAUUUAAUAUAAAACUAUCAAAUACAUGGCUCCUGUGCACUUGCCUGCGAUUACAUUCGAAAGGGCAAAAGUUUCUGAGGAAUGUCUAACCUCAAGUGUUGAACCUGCAGGUACCAUAACCUGAGUUAGCUAAGGAAAAACUUCCUCAUGGUAAGUUUAUUGCAAAAUUGUGUUUUAUGUGGCUGUUGUGCCUGUCCUCGAAGUAUCACAUUGACCAGUGUGUCAGACAAUAUACUGUGUUACAUCGCAAGCCUAGCAGUUUAUGUAUUUACAUAGGUGCUGUAGAGUUAAGGGUCAUGAGUCACUAUAUUUGCCCCUCAUCUGGGCCUGCUCUUCUGUAAUGCUCCAUUAAGUAAAGUUAAAUUGUUUUAUCUGCCCUCUCAUUUCUAGAUAUUCCUGACAUUUAAAUAAUUGUUGAGGGCUUCCUGUUUCACUCAUGGUAAAGUUUCACUAAAAUAGCAUGAAUUUUGUGUAAAAUGCUCUCAGAAACAGAAGAUAGAUAUAGAUAAGGGUUGAUUUUAAACAAUGAAAAAAGGGGUGGUUAUUUUUUUGUUCCUUAUAUACAGGUGUCUAAACAAGGCUGGAUUAUGGCUUUAUCCUGCUAGAAAUAUGAGGCAAGUGUAUGGUAUAGAGUCCUGAGGCUCUCCAAAGGUGAAGGGGGGGGGGGCACUUAAAUGCGCUAGUGUCACAAACAAAUCUCAGUUGAACAAGUUCCUACACUGCUAAAAAGAAAGAGGUCAAGGGGCUGGGAGAGGAGCUGGAGUGUGGAAAAGACUGGAAGCUGUGGCACCAGGACUUUCCUGCACCUCAUGUACCCCUCCAGAGCUUUACCAUGGGGGAAUAGCAGCUGAAGAGUUAGAUAAGGAGUAACGGCACAGGGAAGAAAAUAAGAAUGUGAAAAAAGCAAGCAGAAGAAAAGAUUUCCCAGCUGCAAAACACUCAGUAACACUCAAAAUCAACAUUGGCUCCCUGCAGCCCAAAAUCCCAAGAUACUGGAAAGAGACAGCUAGGAGAAUCCCUAGUCAUUGACUGGGGGUUUUAAUUUAUUCUUUACAGCUAGACAGGGCUCCCGUUCCAGGCUUGCGGGCACGGCAGCCAACUCUUCCCCACCGCAGCCAAUCAAAGGGGCGCUGCCGAAGCUGGGCUGCUCCUGUGAUAAAAGUGUAGGAAGCUCAUGGCUGCAGAGUAAUGCAGACAAAGCAGGAGUGAGAGGCAGACAAAAAGAAAGGAGCCUCAGAGGAUGUAAUCCACCCUGUUAAAGGAAACGCUGUAACCUCUACAGCUGUGUUUAUGCUGCUUCAUGCAAUAGGCACCAGCCUCUCAUCCCUCGGGAGAUUUUUUACAGCAUUAAUUCAUUCUGCACGAACCCAGCCAGCAAGGCUCCUCUUCAGCAGCGAGCUUUUCCAUCCCUCCAUCUCCCCCCGUCUCCGAGAGCCCUGCCAGCAGGAACUGCACCCCUCCAGCUGACCUUCCACCGCUCUGGAUCAAAUGUCUCCUGUACCCAAUGAAGCAGACCCCGAAGUGCCACGAAUGGACCCCAGGAUUCUUAUUUUCCUCCUGUAUGUGAUGAUCCUCCAUGAGCUGGUCAGUGGCUGGAUGGAGUACCAAAAGCAAGUAGCCAAGCCGAAGAAGCAAGCGGGUCCGGUCUGGUCUUCUAGCAGUGCUUCCAGAUCAAACCACUCCAGCUUCUCCAGGCCUCUGGUCCACUCUGUGCGCCGGGAGCGGUACAGGGACUGGAGAAAACCAGGAAGAAUCAUCCGGAAGGCAUGAGGAUGCAUCUGAGGUCUGUCAGGAGCUUGGGGAGUCCUUACUGAGCCAGAUGCAACCAUCCCUCACGAGGUCUGCGCCGACUCGUCGCCUUGCAGCAGCCAGCGUGAGAGCAUCUUCCAGGCACCGUGAUCGGCACCUGCAACUUUCUGCUUUUCGCUGAGCCUGGCACGACUGAAAAGGAAUGAGCCCCUUCCUCCUCCUGGGAUCCUGGUGCUGUGUGUUGGGGAGCCAGGGUGGAGACACCCCCAGCCAGCAGCAGGCUUGCCUAAGGUGGGAUGAGGUUUUUGCCACGACACAGAGAAGUGGCUUUUCUUUCUUCUUUCCAAAGGGUCAAGUAGAUAGAAAGUAGAUUUCUCUUAAGAAGAAUGAAAUUUGCUACGACAUGGGUAACCCUUGGAAGCCUUCGGAUGGUUUCAGUCUCCUCUCGCUUCCACUCGAGGACUGCACAGCGGGCAAGCAGCAUUUCCAAAAGUGACUGGAGAUCUUUGGUGCUCAACUGGUGACCACUCCCAGGAGCUCGUUCCCAGGAGAACUUGCCUCCACUUGAGCACCCAAAAGUCAUGACACUCUUCACUUUGGAAAUGCUGGCUUCCUGUUAAGUCUCAUCCGCUGGGAGACUGUAACUUUCUUCUGCUUUUCUUCACCAUUGUUAUAUUAGUUACACUGGAGUGGAACGGGAAAAGUGCCCUGAACCAGUGACUCAGAGUUAUGCCACUGAAUGCAAUUUACUACAAUGAUCUCGUAAUUAGAUUAUUUUGGAACAAUCCCAACAGUGGAGCCAAAUAUAAUGGCAACUUUCUAAUGAGCAGAUAGAUAGGAACGGAAUACACUGUGGCUCUUUUAUUAGAGUCUGUGAUUUAAGCGUAAGAUUAGACUUCAGAGGCAAAAGUCAGUUCCUACAUCCUGCUGCCACCCAUAGCAGUCAUAUGCAGAACUGGGAAACUCUGAGUGCUGGAGGAACUGAACAGCAAGUGUUCGUGGCAAAACUGACUGCCUUAUUUGCUGAACAUAAUGUUUGGCUCAAAUGCAGCCUGUUUUUCUUUUUGCCAACCAUUUGUAAACCUGACUCAGGCUCAUGGAUGCACUAUCCAGGAGUAGAUAGGGAAGAGACUCUGAAUAGAUUAUGUUUGCUAUCCAGAAGUAGCCACGAGACACAAUUACGUAUUUGUCUGCUUCUCAAUUGUUUGCAAAUUGUUCACAUCGAUUGACACUGUGUUUAGUCCCCUAUAGCAGGAAUCACCUGGCAGAAGGUAGAUGUCUACAUCUGAGCUACAUCCAGACCCCCUGUACUGCCAGUAAAGAGAAACAGGCCUGUGAGGGGCUGUCAUUCACCUCUUUCAAAGGUAGACAUCACAAGAAAGCUGGGUGAAGUGGGCUCUAGAAGUGUCCAGUCCUCUAUCCUAGCCAGGCUGGAUAACUAACUCACAUGGAGAUCUCCACUGUUAAAGGAAUUGAAUUUAUGCCUUGUGUGCUGGUAUGUUUAAAAAAGGAGAUAGAUAGGCGUAGCAAAUAACUUGCUUUCUGCACAUUUCAAAGGACAAACUUUCUUGCAAACAUGUGCCUCAGCUCUGUGACACUGUGGCUAUUUUUCCAGGCAUGCACUGCCUAUCUCAAUACAUGCAAGUACAUAUGCAAGUAACAGAGAAUGACUGGAGAAAGUGUUAGGAGGAAAAAUAUCAGGGAAGUAAUUCUGAAGAGGGUUUUGCUUUCCUAGAGUUCAGUCUGGCCUAGUAUUGCAGGGGACAUGCAGCUCGAUGUUUUUCCCUGCUCCUCAGCUAGAGUGUGUGUGAAUUUGCUGGGAAUACUUGGUGUGCAAAAGGUGUUUGAAUGAAUUAUGGAGCCAGUGCAGGAUAAGAAUGAUCUCACUGCACAAGCCGGGCUCCCAGCCUCGGUGCGAUAAAAGGACCUGAAUGGGGCAGGCAGAUGUUCUGGCUGCUGCAUCCUUAAGGAACCAUGGAUAGACAGGGAUGCUUUGCUCUGCUGAUCACAUGCUGGAUCUGUUGCUGUAAAUAUCUUCCUGUUUUCCUCCAAUAAACUCUUUUACAUAUA